GAGAGAGAGAGAGAGCGUCAGGGCGCCUGCGCUGCAGUCCCGCACCGUGCCCCUGGAGCGAUGGUGCUUUAGCGGUGUUCAGCGGUCAGAAAGGCCGGUCUACGAGCAUCCCCAUGGCGGGAGGAGGAGGCACGAUCGCCGGUGGCAGACGGGAGGGGCAAGGGGCUCUUCCGUAGAGACACGGGGCUGUGCUGGAAGACUGGAAGACUCAGGAGGAGCAGGAGGAGUGGAUACCCGGCACUGUGGGCUUGCAGCGCUGCAGCUUCAGUAUGGAUAGUCUAGAGAGCUUCAGCGCGAGCGUCUCCUAAUCCCGGCGGCCGGUUUUGUUGAAAGAGAGGCGGAUUCGGGAGAAAGUGCGGGUCAGGGCGCCUGUCAGCCUUUCAGCCGCAUCACUGCUGGAGCUCUCUGCGCCCCGGCCAGCCGCUCUAACCGAGGAGGAUGGAGAAGCCGAGCCAGGCUCAGCAGCAGCAGCAGCAGUCAGCCAUGUCCAAGAAGGCUGAAAGUGGUGCGGAAGACGUGUCUAAACUUACGGACGAGGAGCUCCUCAAGUGGAGCAAGGAGGAGCUGGUGCGGAGGCUGCGCAAAGCCGAGGCGGACAAGAUGAGCGUCAUCGUGGACCACAGCAACCUCAUCAGGGAGGUGAACCGCAGACUCCAGCAGCACCUGAACGAGAUCCGGGGACUCAAGGAGGUGAAUCAGAAGCUGCAGGAAGACAACCAGGAGCUGCGGGACCUCUGCUGCUUCUUGGAUGACGACCGACAGAAGGGGAAGAAGGUCUCAAGGGAGUGGCAGCGCCUUGGCCGCUACAGCGCUGGGAUCAUGCGCAAGGAAGUGACGCUGUACCUGCAGAAGCUGAAGGAGCUGGAGCAGAGGCAGGAGGAGGUACUGAAGGAGAACCUAGAGCUGAGGGAGCUGUGCCUCAUGCUGGAUGAGGAGAAAGGCUCUGGAGGUACUGGAGUGUCUGUGGGCACCGGAGCACCAGCAGGCUGCAGGAACUCGAUCGAUAGCCAGAGCAGCUUGUCCCAUGCCAGCGUGCCUGGGCCAGGGCUGCUGAGGGAUGUCGGGGAUGGGAGCAGCACCUCCAGCGCAGGCAGCACAGAUAGCCCCGAUCAUCUCACGCACAAGCAGCAGUUGCUGGCCUGUUCAGCGGGGGGAAGCCCCGAACUCCUCCAUAAACCUCGGUCAGGAUCAGGGGAGGAAGGACCGGGCCCGGAGCUCUCUGGCCGUAGACGGAGCACCAGUCCGGAAUACGCCGCCCACACUUUCCCUCAAGUGUGUCGGCCUCGCUGCGGCUCCCUCUCCAGCCCUGACCACAAAGGCCUGCGAGGUCUCAGCCCUGAAAAGCUCAUCAAAGGCCUGACUAGAGGCAGUCAGGACCAGUUCUCCAAGCACUUGCUGGUGUCCUCCCAGCCUCCUGGAAGCCCUGACCUCUUCCAGAAGCACAGAGGGAGCAUCGGGAGUGCCUGUGGGAGCCUCGAACCCAAGCAGUUACUGACAGGAACCCCUGAGCACUUGCAGAAGGGUCGUGUGAUAUCAGGAAGCCCUGAGAUGCUGAGGCAUGGGUACAGUGCGAGUCCGGAGCACGGCAAGUUCGGAAGUCCAGGCCGGGACGUGGCCCAGAGGAGGGCGGGAGGCGACGAGAUGUCCCCACAUCACCGGAGCAUCUACAGCGGUAUGAAUGGUGGGUCUGACUGGAGCCUGCUGUAGCACCCCACACUGAGGGCCAUUACAGUACACUACAUGCUAAAGGGAUGGUCAUCAGUCAUCACGGAGAGGGCAUCAGUUACAAAACAAAACAAAAAAAAACUAAAAAGAAAGCCCUAUAAGCCCAAAAACCAGGCUCUAGUCCAUCCCAUUCUAUAAACCAUGAUCUGCAUUUAUUUAAGUUUUCCUUUGCGCAGCUCAGACGGCACCUUAAGGAGGUAGAACAGGGCCGUUAGUGUCUGGCAGAACGUCUCAUUUCUGGUAAAGGUCGGUGGUGUCCAGUCUUGGUUCUCAAGGGCCAUGAUUUCAGCAGGCUUUAGCUGCUACCUGUCAAUCAACCUGUGCUUUUAUGCCUCGGAAGCCAUUUACGCGCUGGAGCCCGACCGAGGGAACUGUAACCAAUCACACAGCAUAAAGUUCAGAGGCCCAACAAAAAGCCAGAAGACAGUGCUCCCCAACAGGACCAGGAGUGGACACCACUGUUUUUGCCAUAUGUUUCCAGCUCUGAUAUCUGCUGGCUGCUGCACCACCUCCUGUAGAAGUGUCAAGCUUUGGGACAGCUUUGAUGCCUCCUGACCCUUGCCUUGAUUGAAUCCAGUGGUGGGUUCCUGGCCUUGAGAGAGGAGCCCAGCUGUCUGGUGUCUAAUGCGCUGGGAGAUGGAGAGAAAAGGAGAGGAUUAGAGGGAGAAGGUGAAGAAAAAGGAGAAGGAAAUCGUGCAGCAGCCAGUGUCUUGUGUCUUCUCCACCCCAUGAUGGUGUCAGCUCUCCUGUGUCCCCUAUUAGAGCCCUGCACAUCCGAGAGGGAUUCUUCAGGAGGGAGGAGACUCGUAACCCCGCCCACACGGAAUUCUGUAACGGGAGUUGAAAGAUGCUCUCUCUAUGUUGCCAACAAAAUAGACCUACCUCCUUUAAACGAAAGCAGAUGAAACUUAACAUAACAAAAGUAUGAAAUGGGAUUCAGAGUCUAUCACCCCUUUUGUUUACAGAUGCCAUACACAACCACAUACGAGCAGCAAGCACUGAUAAGAGCGUACACCUUCCGGUCGGAGCCACUAAAAAAUAUAUAUAUAAUAAACGUUUAAUUGGAGAUUCUGAGCAUCAGAGGAAAUUAUUAAAAGAAAAGUCUUGUCAUAGCAAUCACUGCCUUGCUUCCAUUAAGAGCUUUGUUGUGAUCAUUAGGUAAUUACGACCGUAAUAUAAGCUACAAAUAUUUAUACUUUGAGCAGUCUGCGCUGACCAAUUAUCAUUAGGAGAGGAGACAGCGGACCCAAAUCACCCCUAUCCGUCAUUAGCGAGCGACUGCUAAAGAACCGUGUGGUGAGUGAAGUGCUGUCUGAUCUGAUGCUUUUUGGAAGCACAAAGCCAGCCUUAAAUACGCCCUGUCCCCUCUCAGUCUGUGCUAAUGGACCAUUCCAGAGGGGCAACCUAUGAAAGACUCCACUGACAUUCAUCUAAAAACCACAAGCUCCCAACUUUCCCACACUACAGAUACCAUCAUGCCUUGCUUCUACCCAGGUGUUUCUGUGAGUCCCGCCCCUAUAGACAGUGACAAUAGAACAAGUACAAAAACACACAUAUACACACACACACAUAUACAGACAAAACAUGGACACACUACAUACUAGCUUCAUUUGAGAGAACUAAACAGCACACAGCCAUUUUUGGUAGCCCUUUAUUUAUUAGGCCUAGAUUACAAAUUCCUGUGCGCCAACCAUUGAUCCUCCUGUAUAAUUCAGUAUUACAUACAGUAAACGCUACUUUGUAACCUCUUU